rnacentral:rRNA from 1 species
AUGAACGCUAGCGACAGGCUUAACACAUGCAAGUCGAGGGGCAGCGGGGGCGCAAGCUUGCUUGCGCCCGCCGGCGACCGGCGCACGGGUGAGUAACACGUAUGCAACCUGGCCCGCGGACGGGGAUAACCCGGUGAAAACCGGACUAAUACCCGGCGACGCCCGGAGGGGGCAUCCCCUCCGGGCCGAAGGAAGGAAUUCCGCCGCGGGAUGGGCAUGCGGCGCAUUAGGCAGUUGGCGGGGUAACGGCCCACCAAACCGGCGAUGCGUAGGGGUUCUGAGAGGAAGGUCCCCCACACUGGAACUGAGACACGGUCCAGACUCCUACGGGAGGCAGCAGUGAGGAAUAUUGGUCAAUGGGCGGAAGCCUGAACCAGCCAAGUCGCGUGAGGGAAUGAGGCCCUGCGGGUCGUAAACCUCUUUUGCCGGGGAGCAGUGCCGCCCACGCGUGGGCGGAGGGAGAGUACCCGGAGAAAAAGCAUCGGCUAACUCCGUGCCAGCAGCCGCGGUAAUACGGAGGAUGCGAGCGUUAUCCGGAUUUAUUGGGUUUAAAGGGUGCGCAGGCGGCGCCCCAAGUCAGCGGUCAAAUCGAGGGGCUCAACCCCUUUCCGCCGUUGAAACUGGGGGGCUAGAGUGGGCGAGAAGUAGGCGGAACGCGUGGUGUAGCGGUGAAAUGCAUAGAUAUCACGCAGAACCCCGAUUGCGAAGGCAGCCUACCGGCGCUCUACUGACGCUCAUGCACGAAAGCGCGGGGAUCGAACAGGAUUAGAUACCCUGGUAGUCCGCGCAGUAAACGAUGAAUGCCCGCCGUCCGGCACGAUUGGGUGCUGGGGGGCCAAGCGAAAGCGUUAAGCAUUCCACCUGGGGAGUACGCCGGCAACGGUGAAACUCAAAGGAAUUGACGGGGGCCCGCACAAGCGGUGGAGUAUGUGGUUUAAUUCGACGCAACGCGAAGAACCUUACCAGGGCUUGACAUAUACAUGAAAGUCUAAGAGAUUAGACCCCUCUUCGGAGCGUGUAUACAGGUGGUGCAUGGUUGUCGUCAGCUCGUGUCGUGAGAUGUUGGGUUAAGUCCCGCAACGAGCGCAACCCUUAUUGUUAGUUGCCAUCAUUUAGUUGGGCACUCUAGCGAGACUGCCGGUGACAAACCGGAGGAAGGUGGGGAUGACGUCAAAUCAUCAUGCCCCUUAUGACUUGGGCUACACACGUGCUACAAUGGCGUAAACAAAGGGAAGCGAGAGAGCGAUCUGGAGCAAAUCCCAAAAAUAACGUCCCAGUUCGGAUUGUAGUCUGCAACUCGACUACAUGAAGCUGGAAUCGCUAGUAAUCGCGAAUCAGAAUGUCGCGGUGAAUACGUUCCCGGGCCUUGUACACACCGCCCGUCACACCAUGAGAGUUGGGGAUACCCGAAGCCUGUGAGCCAACAGUAAUGAGGCAGCAGUCGAAGGUAGAAUCAAUGAUUGGGGUG